rnacentral:lncRNA from 1 species
CCCUGCUGCCAUGUAAGACGUGUCUUGCUUCCCCUUUACUUUCUGCCCUGACUGCGAGCCUCCUCAGCCCUGUGGAACUGCAUUUCAAACAAAGAAGGGAGAGAAUUGCAAUGAGUUUCAGUGCAGGAGUUUAGGAGAGCUGCGUUCUCAGCAUAAUCAGCAUGUAACAGUUUUCUGACAGAGACUCUGAUCGGGGAGAAAAAAUAACCUGUCCAGCAUGACAUAGCUGAUA